rnacentral:misc_RNA from 1 species
GUGUGAAGGAUGUUAGAGAUCUCAGUCGAGAUGUGAUAAAGUCAGAUACUGCAAGUGUAAAAGUCCCAGAUCUUGACUUGGAGCUGACUAGUGGCACUCUUGGGGGAAUUGUUACAACUGUCGAAGGUUUAAUCACAAAGAUAAGUGAAAGUCUUGAGAGAGUACAUGGAUUUACUUUUGGAGACAGUCUUGAUGAAAAUAGAAGAAACAAAUGGUUGGACUUCAAAACAAGACUAACCAAGCUCUUGAGUUUGGAACAGCCUUGGACUCUCAUCCUUGAUGAUGCACUAGCUAAUUCGUUUAUUGCACCAGUGACUGAUGAUAUGAAAGAUGACCAUCAGUUAACAUGCGAGGAAUACGAGAGAUCCUGGGAACAGAAUGAGG